AGUGGCGGACGGGUGAGUAACGCGUGGGUAACCUGCCCUGUACAGGGGGAUAACAGUUGGAAACGGCUGCUAAUACCGCAUAAGCGCACGAGAGGACAUCCUUUUGUGUGAAAAACUCCGGUGGUACAGGAUGGGCCCGCGUCUGAUUAGCUGGUUGGUGGGGUAACGGCCCACCAAGGCGACGAUCAGUAGCCAGUCUGAGAGGAUGAACGGCCACAUUGGAACUGAGACACGGUCCAA
rnacentral:rRNA from 1 species